rnacentral:misc_RNA from 1 species
GAAAUGCGAUAAGUAAUGUGAAUUGCAGAAUUCAGUGAAUCAUCGAGUCUUUGAACGCACAUUGCGCCCCCUGGCAUUCCGGGGGGCAUGCCUGUCCGAGCGUCAUUGCUGCCCUUCAAGCCCGGCUUGUGUGUUGGGUCAUCGUCCCCUCCGGGGGACGGGCCCGAAAGGCAGCGGCGGCACCGCGUCCGGUCCUCGAGCGUAUGGGGCUUUGUCACCCGCUCGAUAAGGACCGGCCGGGCGCCAGCCGGCGUCUCCAACCUUUUUUUCUCAGGUUGACCUCGGAUCAGGUAGGGAUACCCGCUGAACUUAAGC